rnacentral:rRNA from 1 species
GACGAACGCUGGCGGCGUGCUUAACACAUGCAAGUCGAACGGAAAGGCCCUGCUUUUGUGGGGUGCUCGAGUGGCGAACGGGUGAGUAACACGUGAGUAACCUGCCCUUGACUUUGGGAUAACCUCAGGAAACUGGGGCUAAUACCGGAUAGGAGCUCCUGCUGCAUGGUGGGGGUUGGAAAGUUUCGGCGGUUGGGGAUGGACUCGCGGCUUAUCAGCUUGUUGGUGGGGUAGUGGCUUACCAAGGCUUUGACGGGUAGCCGGCCUGAGAGGGUGACCGGCCACAUUGGGACUGAGAUACGGCCCAGACUCCUACGGGAGGCAGCAGUGGGGAAUAUUGCACAAUGGGCGGAAGCCUGAUGCAGCAACGCCGCGUGCGGGAUGACGGCCUUCGGGUUGUAAACCGCUUUCGCCUGUGACGAAGCGUGAGUGACGGUAAUGGGUAAAGAAGCACCGGCUAACUACGUGCCAGCAGCCGCGGUGAUACAUAGGGUGCGAGCGUUGUCCGGAUUUAUUGGGCGUAAAGGGCUCGUAGGUGGUUGAUCGCGUCGGAAGUGUAAUCUUGGGGCUUAACCCUGAGCGUGCUUUCGAUACGGGUUGACUUGAGGAAGGUAGGGGAGAAUGGAAUUCCUGGUGGAGCGGUGGAAUGCGCAGAUAUCAGGAGGAACACCAGUGGCGAAGGCGGUUCUCUGGGCCUUUCCUGACGCUGAGGAGCGAAAGCGUGGGGAGCGAACAGGCUUAGAUACCCUGGUAGUCCACGCUGUAAACGGUGGGUACUAGGUGUGGGGUCCAUUCCACGGGUUCCGUGCCGUAGCUAACGCUUUAAGUACCCCGCCUGGGGAGUACGGCCGCAAGGCUAAAACUCAAAGGAAUUGACGGGGCCCCGCACAAGCGGCGGAGCAUGCGGAUUAAUUCGAUGCAACGCGUAGAACCUUACCUGGGUUUGACAUGGAUCGGGAGUGCUCAGAGAUGGGUGUGCCUCUUUUGGGGUCGGUUCACAGGUGGUGCAUGGCUGUCGUCAGCUCGUGUCGUGAGAUGUUGGGUUAAGUCCCGCAACGAGCGCAACCCUUGUUCACUGUUGCCAGCACGUUAUGGUGGGGACUCAGUGGAGACCGCCGGGGUCAACUCGGAGGAAGGUGGGGAUGACGUCAAGUCAUCAUGCCCCUUAUGUCCAGGGCUUCACGCAUGCUACAAUGGCUGGUACAGAGAGUGGCGAGCCUGUGAGGGUGAGCGAAUCUCGGAAAGCCGGUCUCAGUUCGGAUUGGGGUCUGCAACUCGACCUCAUGAAGUCGGAGUCGCUAGUAAUCGCAGAUCAGCAACGCUGCGGUGAAUACGUUCCCGGG